GAUGAACGCUGGCGGCGUGCCUAAUACAUGCAAGUCGAGCGAACAGACGAGGAGCUUGCUCCUCUGACGUUAGCGGCGGACGGGUGAGUAACACGUGUAUAACCUACCUAUAAGACUGGGAUAACUUCGGGAAACCGGAUCUAAUACCGUAUAAUAUAUUGAACCGCAUGGUUCAAUAGUGAAAGACGGUUUUGCUGUCACUUAUAGAUGGAUCCGCGCCGCAUUAGCUAGUUGGUAAGGUAACGGCUUACCAAGGCGACGAUGCGUAGCCGACCUGAGAGGGUGAUCGGCCACACUGGAACUGAGACAGGGUCCAGACUCCUACGGGAGGCAGCAGUAGGGAAUGUUCCGCAGUGGGCGAGAGCCUGACGGAGCAACGCCGCGUGAGUGAUGAAGGUCUUCGGAUCGUGAAGCUCUGUUAUUAGGGAAGAACAAAUGUGUAAGUAGCUAUGCACGUCUUGACGGUACCUGAUCAGAAAGCCACGGCUAACUACGUG
rnacentral:rRNA from 1 species